rnacentral:rRNA from 1 species
AUUGAACGCUGGCGGCAUGCUUUACACAUGAAGUCGAACGGUAACAGCACUUCGGUGGCUGACGAGUGGCGAACGGGUGAGUAAUACAUCGGAACGUGCCUAGUAGUGGGGGAUAACUACUCGAAAGAGUAGCUAAUACCGCAUGAGAUCUAAGGAUGAAAGCAGGGGACCUUCGGGCCUUGCGCUACUAGAGCGGCUGAUGGCAGAUUAGGUAGUUGGUGGGAUAAAAGCUUACCAAGCCGACGAUCUGUAGCUGGUCUGAGAGGACGACCAGCCACACUGGGACUGAGACACGGCCCAGACUCCUACGGGAGGCAGCAGUGGGGAAUUUUGGACAAUGGGCGCAAGCCUGAUCCAGCAAUGCCGCGUGCAGGAUGAAGGCCUUCGGGUUGUAAACUGCUUUUGUACGGAACGAAAAGCCCUCUUCUAAUACAGGAGGGUCAUGACGGUACCGUAAGAAUAAGCACCGGCUAACUACGUG